rnacentral:lncRNA from 1 species
AACACUGAGAGCAAGUGAAGUAUGCUCCUGCCAAGAACGUCUUACAAGACUGGCAAAUUAUAGCCCUUCCACUCUGCAUGAUGUAGUACAAGACGAUUGCUUCAUCAAAAUCCAAGGUUCCAUUGCCAUCCUUGUCCAGCGCUGUAAACAAGCUUGGAAGAACCGUGUUGUUAUCUUUCUUGAGAUACUCCACGUAUUCAUCUAGGUUAAUUUUCCCGUCUUUGUUUUUGUCCAUUUCAUUGAAAGAAAAUCUGGCAUUUCUCUUCUCCUCAUCGGGCAGAUUCUCAUAAUAAGCUCCAGCAGCCCGGCGAAUCUCCUCCAUAUCUAUUUAUGCGUGUAAUAUUUAAGAGGAAGAAGAUUUAAGAGGAUAACGGAAGAGGUAGCUUAGAUCAACAAUUUUAACACUCCAAAGGGACUUUGGUCUGCAUCUGAUCACAAAGCUCUCAUGUUCGAUAGUGAUUUAUAGUACUGGCAAGUGACCACAAAAUGAAGAAAUAUUAAAGAAUUGAAGUGAAUUUGGGUGUGGAUUAUCAUUGUGAAUUUGUAUGGGACCUUUGGUAUCUUCAAUAAUUUAACUUUCUCACACAACACAUGAAACACGACUCCCGUAUCCGAGUACAUGCAAACCCAGCUAGCUACUACCCCCACAAAUUUGUUUUUGGAGACAGAUCUAAUCUUUUAUUCCACCGUACCCAUGCAUUAUUUAUUUCACCUCAACCCUUCUCUAUCAACAACAAAAGAAAACAGUAGCUAUUAAAGAGACCACACAGAGAAGAAAUAUUAAAGAAUUGAAGUCAAGUUGGGUGUGGAAACUUUGGUAUCUUCAAUAAUUCCACGAUCCCACACUUACAUUUAUCUGAUGAUGACUAUUGCCCACUAACUAUUGACAUGAUCCUCAUUUUCUAUGGCAAUCAAGCUAUUGAUAUUGUGAACUAAUGUUUUUUCUUUCGUUUCAACCAGAAACGAUUAAAAAAUCCCAAGCAUUUUCUAUGGAAAUCAAGCAUUUUCAUGACCUAAUAAUUUCUUUUGGUAUACAUAAUUUUUUUUUUUUGAAAAUUUAGUAUAGUUGAGAGUAUUAUAACUGUCUUGUGCAUCACGUCAGUCACGAAUGCCAUAACCUCUAUUAUUGCAAAUACAAUCUAUGACUUGCUAAUUAUAGAUGUCAAUGGCAACUCGUUGUUGUAUAAGGUGUUUUCAACUUCUCUAAAAGAGGUAUCCUGGGAUAGUUUAUUCUGUCAUCAACUCUCUUCUUCAAAAAAAUUGUAAUUCACACAAUUACAAGUAAUUAGUUUUCAACAUCAAAAUACAAUUCACACAAAAAAAGCACUUAACUAAGUUGUAAAUCAAUAUGUUAGUCAUCCAAAUGUAGCUAAGUCAAUAUCAAAAAUUAAUUUAAAAUAAAAUAAAAUCUAAAUUAAGCUCCAUAUCUCGAGGAUUUUGAAUUGACCUGCAAUAUAUUAUAUUUAUGUUUAGCCAUGUUCGGUAUUAUGUUCCAAGCUUUACAACUCAUCCUUGUUUUUUUAAAAUCAUUUUAAAAUGUGUUUUGCUAUUCACUCUUGGUAUUUAGGGUCAAUAGACUCAACAUGGAUUAUUACAUUGUAUAUUAAAAGUAUUAGUGUUUCUUUUGAUUUUAAAUAAAAAAUAAGUCUUAAAAAUAUCUAAGUUCAAUAUUGUCUAAAGUAUUUGUGCCACUAGAUCCCACCACUAAAUAGAUUAACCCACAAUGGUUAAUGCUUGGACAUUUUAGGAUCAGGGUACAAAACCUUUAUUCAACAAAACUUAUGAGUGAAUCCUGGUAUUAAAGGAUAAAUGAACUUGAAUAAGGCAUUAUCCAUAGAUCAUCGUUGUAUAAACAAAUUGUUUAGCGACAUAUCCUCCUAAGAUUUGGACUAGGUUCAAUGAACCUAACAUAAGCCCAUCCAAUUAUGCACUGACAUGGCUUUAUUAACUAAUAAUAGUCAUGGGUCAUUGUUGUUAUCUAUUUUUGGAUCCUUAUACAAAAAAAAAAAGAAGGAAAUAUUAGAAGAAAAAAACUAAAAAAAUAUAUAUUAGUGAGAAAAGGACAUCGAGAUGCCCAAAAAAAGGCAAAGGUUGGUUGAGAAAGUUCGAAAAUACAAAGAUUGAAAUUUGACAGUAUGUUUUUUAUUGAUGAAGGCCCUAUUGACAAACAAAAUUCAAUUUAAGGAUGAAAAGUCCAAAAUCAAAUGUUUAAGGACUCAAUUAGAUUUCAUUGAAGGUUUAAUUAAAUUUAUGAAGGGUAUGAUAGUAAGAAAAAAUAAUUUUAAGUCAAUUUAGGCUUUAAUUGAAAGAAAUUAAAGCUUGGGGGCGAAUUAUAAUUUUUAGGAGUUAUUUUGGUCAAAUCAAGGGUUUAGUUGCAUAUAUAUUGAAGUUUAAUGGGUAAUUAGGGAUUUGAUUGAAGAAAUUCAAAAGCAAGGACCAAACUGGAAAAGGCGCGUGAAUAUAGGGGUUGGAAUUGACCGAAACAAGGGCUAAAUUGAAGAAAUUCAAAAUUUGUUGAUCAAUUAAGGGUCAAAAUGCACAAAUUCAAAACCAAUGACCAAAAUUGAAAAAGGUGGUCACUUUAGGUCUGGCAUUUGAAUUUGACAGGGAUGCAAUUGAAUUGAUUCUUAAAAUCAAAAUCUCAAUUAAGGACUUAAUUGAACAAAUUGAAAAAUGAGGACUAAUUUGAAAAUAGACACUUUUUGGCGUCAUUUUCUUGUAAACGAAAUGACUUGUUUUGUUCAAAACAACACCGUUUCAUUCAUUGUUCAUUUUUUUUAAAAAAAAGAACUCAAAACGAUGCAGUUUUGAUUGGCACUAUACAUCUUCUUCUUCCCCUGGACAUGCUACAGGCAGGGGAAGAAGAAGUUUGUUCCCCUGCAACAUCUCUCUCUCUCCUAGAAACCCAAAAAUCAACAAGACUCACACCCAUGACCAAUUAGCAAAUGAAAAAACAGAGGGGACAAGCCCUACGGGCAGCUGGAUAAUAUACAUGGAUGACAUCAACAUUAGUAGGGCACAUAAUAUACAUCUUACUGGCAACAAAGAAAGGUAGAUAUGGUUGUGGCAUCGUAGACUGAGACAUCCAUUAUUUUCUUACUUAAGGCGAUUAUUUCCAAGUCUGUUUUUAAACUUGCAUGAAUCUGACUUCCAUUUCGAUAGAUGUAUUUUAUCCAAAAGUCACUGUGUGUUCUAUCCAACAAUUUUUAAAAUAUGUGAAACUCCAUUCACAUUGAUUCAAUCGGAAGUUUGGGUUCCGUCACCUAUUUCAAUAUCUUUAAGAGUUAGAUGGUUUGUGACUUUUAUAGACGACUACUGUAAGAGUCUCAAAAUUAUAUCAUCGAGGUCAUAACUAUUAUAUCGAAUCACUCUUCAUAACCGGAAACAUUCAUUUUUUUUUUCAUAAAUCUAAUUUUCUAUAGAAAAUUCGAUAGAGUUUUCUUUGUUUUUGUAAAAUGAAAUAAAAAUCUAAAUUAAGCUUUAGAUCUUGAGGAUUUUGAAUUGACCUACAAGAUAUGAUAUUUAUGUUAAGCCAUGUUCAAUAUCAUGUUCCAAGCCUUUACAACUCAUCCUUGUUGUUUUAAAAUUAUGACAAAAUAUGUUUUGCUAUUCACUCUUGGUAUUUAGGGUAAAUGGACUCAACAUGGAUCAUUACAUUGUAUAUUAAAAGUAUUAGUUGUUUCUUUUGAUUUUAAAUAAAAAAGAUAAGUCUUAAAAAUAUCUAAGUCCAAUAUUGUCUAAAGUAUUUGUGCAACUAGAUCCCACCACUAAGUAGAUUAACCCACAUUAGUUAAUGCUUGGAAAUUUCAGGAUCAGGGUACAAAACCCUUAUUCAGUAAAAAUUACAAGUAAACCCUGAUACUAUAGGAUAAAUGAACUUGAACAGGGCAUUAUCCAUAUACCACCGUUGCAUAAACAAAUUGUUUAGCGACAUCUCCUCCUAGGAUUUGAACUGGGUUUAAUGAACCUAACAUAGACCCAUCCAAUUAUUCACUAACAUGGCAUUAUAAACUAUUAAUAGUCACGGGUCAUGAUCUGGAGUAAAUAGGGAUAGAAAUAUCAAUUCCCCAAACAAAUUAGGAGUAACAAAAACAAAUUUAGAACGGAUAGGAAUAAAACCUACCAUAGGUUUAACUCAUUACAGUAAAUCCAUGUAGAUACACCAUCGGUAGAUUGGGCAUAACAAACUAUUAGGGAUAAAAGACAAGUAGCAAUGGAAUUUACUAUAGGUAUGAUACUUUAGGAUGAUAAUACAUUUCCUUUGGCGUAACAAGUCCCUUAUCUUAGAACUCUGAAGACUAACUAGGGUUUUCUAGUAACCAUAAUUGAUGUGGAUCAACCCACGAACACCAAUAAGUAUCUAUUACAUGUUCUAAAUGGGUCAAUUACAAGGUCCAAAAUAAAGGCAUUAAAAGAAGCAUUAAAUAGACUAGUCUUGCAAGUUUCGGUCAAUGCAGAAAUUAAAGAUUUAUUGGAGCAUCAAGAGAAGGCCUUAGUACAUUUAAUUAAUUUGCAAGAGGGGCCAAAUCCCACCUUAUUUGGGCCAUAAACUUUCGACAACAAGGUUGCCAAUUUUACACUAGUUUGGGCCAACCUUGUUUUUGUGUAUAUUUUUAUGUGCCUUGUGGAUUCCAUACUAAUUGUAGAUUUUAUAUUAUGUGUAAAAACAUUAAUUAUUAGGAUAUCUUAUUUAAUUUCUUUUCAUGUCAAGCGAGGAGAAUACACAACAAAAGAAAAUAAAGAAUCCAAGCUUAAAAGGGUAACAAUGUGGCGGCAAAGUUUCCUAGAUUUGCAAGGAAAAUAUUUCAACAACUUUAAUUGUUUUUUUUAGUGAUAGAAGGACAAUUAAUUGGCAGCAAAGAGGAACAAUAAAGGCAACAACUUUUCCUUCCAAAAAAAGGAUAAAUACAAGGCUACAAUUAAAAUCCUUUUCUAUCUUAGAAACUAUAGGGGUGUCAACUUCUCCCUUGUUUUCUAGGAUAUUGGGCGACAUUGUAGGCUGUACAUGAGCCUUAUAUUUGAUUUGUAUUGUUUUCUCUUUUUUUUUUCUCUUCUCACGACAAUUUAAGGAAUUAACUUAUGAGUUUUAUUUUUAUUAUUUCAGCUAUAGCCCAAGACUUGUUUGGGCUUAAUUAAUACUUGGUUUUUAGCUAAGAUCCAAAACUUGUUUAGAUCAGUGUUUUGGACUUAUCAGUAUAUGUUCUGGGUCAAUUUUAUAAGUGAGUCAGUUUAGUCCACAAUGGUAGAUCUAUUUGGGUUAUUUUCUAAGAGUAUUUAAACUUUUAGUAAGCCUAAAAUUCAGCAGUUAUUGAAUAAUAUCAUUCUGAUUUUUCAGCUUUUGUGAGAGAGUGAUUCUUGCAUUCUUUGGUUCUUGAAAGAACUAAACUGACUUAUCUAAGAUUAACUGGCUUCUUAACAUCAUUUGAUUUAAUUUCAAUGGUGCUAAUACCUUGAGACAUGUUUCUAUCAUGUCACACUCCUAUCAAACCUCUUUUGACUUUUCGAGAUUAGAUUUCAAUCUUGAUUGUGGGUUGCAUGAUCACGAGGUUCCCAUCAAUUAUACUUGGUUUGCAUUAACCUUUGGGUCUGGCAUUGACCAGACCCAUCAGCACUUAGGUCUUGCUAGCGCCAGACCUAACGCGCUUUCAUAGGAGCGUCUUUGGUGCUGUAUUGUUGUUUUUAAGUUAAUGUAUUGUUGAUUUACAGUAUUUGUAGUGUAGUUUUCUUGUAUAUUGUAGUGUUUUAUAAAUUGUUUAUAGAGAAUUAAAGUUUGAUUUUUAUUUUAAGAUUUGUUUGAGAUAUGGGAGAAUCAUUGGGUUAAUAAUUCUCAUAUAACUGAGUCAACUCGUUUCUAUUUUUAUAUUUUCAAAACGAUAUCAUUUUAAUUUGUUUUUUAAUUUAUUAACUUUGACUUAGUCAGGUUUGGCUAAAUUCACUAAAUAAUGGACCAAUAUAUGGAGUCAAUAUAAAAAAGAAUUUAAAAUAAAAUAAAUCCAAAUCAAGCUGAUCUUAAGGAUUUUGAAUUGAUUUGCAAGAUAUUGUACCUAUGUUAGGCCUUUUUUGGUAUUGUGGUCCAACUGUGUUUUUAAAUUUUUUAUGUUUUUGUAUCGUUUUGAUGUGUUGAUAUCAAAAAUAAAAUUAAAAAAAUAUGAUUUUAAUUCAUUUAUAAGUAAAAUACACUUAAAAAAAUAACUUAUAUCACAUUAUCAAACAUGCUAUUAAUAUAAAUAGAUGUUGUUGUGAACAAUAAAAAUUGAUGAAAAAAGAAAAAGGAAGAGUUAAAAAUAAUAACAAUAAAAAACCCAAACAAGCUUAUCUCUCCAUUCCACCGUCCCCAUCAAUUAUUUAUUUCUCCUCCACCCAUCUCUCUCUCUCUCUCUAUAUAUAUAUAUAUAUAUAUAUAAAGCAGUAGCUUGAUGUUGUACAUGAUGGGACCUUUGGUAUCUUCAAUAAUUUAACUAUCUCACACAACACAUGAAACACGACUCCCAUGUCAGAAUCUUGAAGAACUCUGAUGUGCUGAUGCAUACCUGCCCACGUCAUUAUAUUUUAUUGAUUUAUUAAUAUUUUUAUAAAAUAAAUUAUAAAAAUGAAUCCAAGAACAUAUCAUUAUUUAUUUCUCCUCAACCCAUGCAAACGCAGCUACUACUAUGAGAGCCCCCCACAAAUUUGUUUUUGGAGACAGAUCUAGCUUUUCACCGUACCCAUGCAUUAUUUAUUUCUCCUCAACCUUCUCUAUCAACCACAAAAGAAAACAGUAGCUAUUAAAGAGACCACACAACUUUGGUAUCUUCAAUAAUUCCACGAUCCCACACCAAAGGAAACACGGUUCACGUAUCAAAGUCAUGAAAAGCCGAGUUGCAUUUUUCCAAGGAACAUGACAAAACUGAAUCUAGGCAGGAUAGAGUUUUUGGUAAGUUAGCACCCUUAAAAAAUUAUUUUGUAAAAUAACAGUAGUAAAACAAUAUUUAUAAAUCUAAGUAUAAUUGAGAGUAUUAUAAUUGGCAUGUGCCAUCAGUAAGUCACGAAUGCCUUCUGAACCUCCAUUAUUGCAGAUCUUUUGAUUUUAAAUAAAAAACAAGUCUUAAAAAUAUCUAAGUCCAAUAUUGUCUAAAGUAUUUGUGCCACUAGAUCCCACCACUAAGUAUAUUAACCCAUAAUAGUUAAUGCUUGAACAUUUUAGGUUCAGGUUACAAAACCCUUAUUCAAUAAAAUUAUGAGUGAACUCUGGUACUAUAGGAUAAAUAAACUUGAACAGGGCAUGCAUUAUCCAUAGACCACCGUUGCAUAAACAAAUUGUUUAGCGACAUUUCAUCCUAGGAUUUGAACUGGGUUUAAUGAACCUAACAUAGACCCAUCCAAUUAUUUACUAACAUGGCUUUAUAAACUAUUAAUAGUCACAGGUCAUGAUCUAGAGUAAAUAGGGAUAUAAAUAUCAAUUCCCCAAACAAAUUGGGAGUAACAAAAAUAAACAAAACUUUAGAACGGAUAGGAAUAAAACCUACCAUAGGUUUAACUUAUUACAGUUGAUCCAUGUAGAUACACCAUCGGUAGAUUGGGUAUAACAAGCUAUUAGGGAUAAAAGACAUGUAGCAAUGGAAUUUACUAUAGGUAUGAUACUUUGGGUGAUAAUACAUUUCCUUUAGUGUAACAAGUCCCUUAUCUUAAGAACUUUAAAUAGUAAUUAGGGUUUUCUAGUAACCAUAAUUAAUGUGGAUCAGCCAACGAACACUAAUAAGUAUCUAUUACAUGUUCUAAAUGAGCCAAUUACAAGGUCCAAAAUAAAGGUAUUGAAAGAAGCAUUAAAUAGACUAGUCUUGCAAGUUUUGGCGAAUGCAAAAAUUAGAGAUCCAUUGGAGCAUCAAAAGGAGGCCUUAGUAUAUUUAAUUAAUUUAUUAAUAGCUUACUUUAAUGUGGUUGCAAGUGAAGCUAAGAAAAGGAAAAAAAAACAAAUUCGUAAAGUAUAUUAAUUAAAAAAAACUGAGAAGAAAAAAGAAGAAAGAAGAAGAAUACAUACCUGACCAUGGAGGAGAAGAGAAGGAGUUGGGGAGAGAAGAGAAGAGAAAGAAAUGGGUAUUGAUGUUUUUUACAUAUGGGAAAGAAGAAGAAGAAGAACAAAAGAGCCCUGUCUCUUGUGAAAUUAGGAAUUCUAGGCUUUUUAUUGGGGCGUUUUACCGACGGAUAAUUAAAUAUUAAUAUUUUUAAUCAUUCCGUCUGUAAUAUUUAUUGUAAAAUUUCAAUUUAAUCAAAACUUUUCAAAAACCGCCAAAUAUCACCGACGACUUUUCAAUACGUCGGUGAUUAUGUCUGUAAUAUUUAAUUUAAAAUUUUAAUUUAAUCAAGAUUUUUUAGAAAACCAUCAAAUAACACCGAUGAAUUUUCAAUCCAUCGGUGAUUUUGUCUGUAAAGAACAGUAGUUAACAGUGCAAUUGGGAAGUGAACAGUUCAAUAGCUCUUUGAAAAAUACUGAAGGAAUUUUCCAUUGGUGAUUCCCUUUGUUAUUGACAUGAUGAACAACGUUCACAGUUUACCAACAAUUUUAAUUAUUAUUUUUUCGUUGUAAAUUCUGAUGGUAAUUCUGUUGCUAUAAAUGACACGUCAUCAUUUUUUUUUGCUUUGGUUUAAUUAUUUUUUCCCAUUGUAUUUCUCUCGGUAUAUACCGAGGGAAUAUUUCCGUCGAUAAAAUUUAUAAAAAAUUUAUCGAUAAAAAUAUUCCCUCAAUAUUUCUAUUUCUAUUUGUAUUUAUUCCACCGAAACCAUGAAUUAUUUAUUUCUCCUCAUCCCUUCUCUAUCAACAACAAAAGAAAACAGUAUCUAUUAAAGAGGCCACACACCGAAAAAAUGUUAAAGAAUUGAAGUGAAGUUGGGUGUGGAAACUUUGGUAUCUUCAAUAAUUCCACGAUCCUUUAACAAAGACAUCUUGUGAUAGUAUAUUUUAUCAUCAUCUCUCUUCCCCAAAAAAACUGCAAUGCACACAAUCAGAAAUAAUUAAUUUUCUAGCAUCAAAAUGCAAUUCACAUGAAAUAUGUUAAGUCAUCCAAAUAUAACUAAGUCAAUAUCAAAAAAUUAAUUUAAAAUAAAAUAAAAUCUAAAUCAAGCUCUAGAUCUUAAGGAUUUUAAAUUUAUCGUGCAAAAUAUUAUAUUUAUGUUAUUAUGUUCCAAGCCUUUACAACUUAUCCUUGUUGUUUUAAAAUUAGGUCAAAAUGUGUUUUGCUAUUCACUCUUGGUAUUUAGGGUAAAUGAACUCAACAUGGAUCAUUAUAUUGUAAAUAUUAAAAGUAUUAGUUGUUUCUUUUGAUUUUAAAUAAAAAAAUAAAUCUUAAAAAUAUCUAAGUUUAAUAUUGUCUAAAGUAUUUGUUUUUGGAGACCCCCACAAAUUUGUUUUUGGAGACAAGAUCUUCUUUUAUUUAAUGGGUAACAAUCACAUUUUGUUAAUUUUAUUGUUAUGUUGGAAAUUUUGGAGAAAUUGAUUUUUUAUGGAAUUGAUAACAAUUAAAUGAUAUUUAUUUUUUGGUACUUGGAAAAGUAUCAAAUUCCCGCCUCAAAUUCUGACCUAUAUUUAGAUCCAAGAAAUAGAGAUGUAAGUUAAUCUACGGAUCAUUGGUUUAAUAAUUCUUAUAUUAUUGAGUCAACUCGGGUCUAUUUUAUAUUUUCAAAACGAUAUCAUUUUAAUUUUUUUUUUAUUUUCUUAACUUUGACUUGUCAGGUUUGACUAAAUUCACUAAAUAAUGGACCAAUAUGUUGAGUCAUCUAAAUUUAACUAAGUCAAUAUAAAAAACAAUUUAAAAGAAAAUAAAAUUCAAAUCAAGCUGAUCUUGAGGAUUUUGAAUUGAUCUGCAAGAUAUUAUACUUAUGUUAGGCCUUUUUUUGGAUUGUAUCCAACCAUGUUUUUAUAUAUUUUUAUUUUUUUAGAUUCAAAUUAAUUUUUUUAUGUUUUUGUAUCGUUUUGAUGUGUUAAUAUCAAAAAUAAAUUUUUAAAAAUAAAAAAAUAUUAUUUUAAUUCAUUUAUAAGUAAAAAACACUUUAAAAACAACUUGUAUAACACUAUCAAACAAUCUCUUGGUAUAAAUAGAUGUUGUUUUGAACAGCAAAAAUGGAUAAAAAAAAAAGGGAAGAGUUAAAAAUAAUAACAAUAAAAAACCCAAACAUGCUUAUCUCUCCUUUCCACCGUACCCAUGAAUUAUUGAUUUCUCCUCCACGCUUCUCUAUCAAAAAGGAAAAAAAACAGUAGCUUGAUGUUGACUCCACAACCUCCUGUAAUAAAUCCAUUGACCCACGUCCUCGGCCGUUAAGCUCUUUAAAAAGAGACCCCAAUCAUUGCCUCAGUAUUUCUUUGCUCAAGGUAAUAAAUGCCUUACUUUUAACCCAAUCUCACGACCUCCUUGCAGUCCAGAAAUAUCGUUCGCUUUUUGUCUAUUUUUUUUCCCAGACCUGGACGCGUGUGACAUCGCUCGUGGCCUGUCCAUACUUUCACUAGCCUAAAACAAAGCACUAGCUAUUAUUAAUGAGACAGUGUAUUACAAAUUUCUUCUGUUCGAUAGUGAUUUAUAUAACUGAUAAGUGACCACACAAUGAAGAAAUAUUAAAGAACUAAAGUGAAUUUGGGUGUGGAUUAUCAUUGUGUUCCAAACUUCUUUAAAACUUUGCUAUCGUACAUGAUGGGACCUUUGGUAUAUAUCUUCAAUAAUUUAAAUUUUUCACACAACACGACUCCCGUAUCAGAGUCCAUGCAAACCCAGCUAGCUACUAUGAGAGGCCCCCACAAAUUUGUUUUUGGAGACAAAGAUCCUUUCUUUUAUUCCACCGUACCCAUCAAUAAUUUAUUUCUCCUCAACCCUUCUCUAUCGACACAGCGAAGAAAUAUUAAAGAAUUGAAGUGAAGUUGGGUGUGGAAACUUUGGUAUCUUCAAUAAUUCCACGAUCCCUCACCAAAGGAAACACGGUUCACGCAUCAAAGUCAUGAAAAGCCAUGUUGGAGUUGCAUUUUUCCAAGGAACAUGACAAACUGAAUCUAGCCAGGAUAGAGUUUAAUUUUGGUAAGUGAGCACCCUUAAAAAAAUAUUUUGUAAAAUAACACAAUUAAAACAAUAUUUAUAAAUCUAAGUAUAAUUGAGAGUAUUAUAAUUGGUAUGUGCGUUAUGUUAGUCACGAAUACCUUCUGAACCUCCAUUAUUGCAUAUACAAUCUACAACAUGUAAGUCGUAGAUGUCAAUCGCAACUCACGUGUGGUAGAAGGUAUCUAUGGCUUCUUUACCAUAGAUAUCCUGUGACAAUUUAUUUUGUCAUCAUCUUUCUUCCCAAAAAAACUGCAUUGUGCACAAUCACAAAUAAUCAAUUUCCAAGCAUCAAAAUACAAUUCAUAUUAGCAGUACAUAACUAAGUUAUGAAUCAAUAUGUUGAGUCAUCCAAAUGUAACUAAGUCAAUAUCAAAAUAUAAUUUAAAAUAAAAUAAAAUAUAAACCAAGCUCUAGAUCGUAAGGAUUUUGAAUUGACCUGUAAGAUAUUAUAUUUUAUGUUAAGCCAUGUUUAAUAUUAUGUUCCAAGCCUUUACAACUCAUCCUUGUUGUUUUUAAAUUAUGUGAACUUAUGUUUUGUUAUUCACUCUUGGUAUUCAGGGUAAAUGAACUCAACAUGGAUCAUUACAUUUUAUAUUAAAAGUAUUAGUUGUUUCUUUUGAUUUUAAAUAAAAAAACAAGUCUUAAAAAUAUCUAAGUCCAAUAUUGUCUAAAGUAUGUGUGCCACUAGAUCCCACCACUAAUCUGUGUUUUGGUUGGAGGUGUGGUGGCUUUUUUUCAUUGAAAAUCAUGUAUUCUUUGCUUUUAGGAGGUGUUGUGUGUGCUUUAAAAGGAUUGUACCCUUGAAAAAAAACCUCCCACCCAAACAUUCCCUAAGUAGUUUAACCCAUAAUAGUUAAUGCUUGGACAUUUUAGGAUCAGGGUAUAAAACCCUUAUCCAGUAAAAAUUAUGAGUGAAUCCUGAUACUAUAGGAUAAAUGAACUUGAACGGGGCAUUAUCCAUAUACCACCGUUGCAUAAACAAAUUGAAUCUUGAUACAAAACCAUGUGUUCAAAAAAUAAAAACAAUAAUGUGCGGAUUAGCAGCUUUAAAUUUUGAACUUACAUAAAACAAAACAAACAAAAGUGAGAUUAUAUAACAAUUAUUCAUUAUUUGUUAGUAGAAAAGAAGGAAUUGAAACGGCAGAAUAAAAAGAAGUGGUAUAACAUUGUUUUACUUUUUACCAGUUCACUCGUGGGUCAACUCGCAUGAACAGGAUCCAGUCUCUAACCUAUGCCUAAAGGAGACUCAACUCAUCUUUUAAAACCAUGACCAUAGGUCAUUAACCCACACAUGCAUUAGAUUUCAUUGUAUAAAAUUAAUAUUUAGUUGCUUAGGGGCUCCAAUUUUCAAUUAAAUUUCAUUGUAUAAAAUUAAUAUGUUGUUACUGUUAAAGAGAUUGUAUUCUCAAGUGCCGAAAAUCAGGGUUGAAUGUUUGAUAUUAAGAUACAAGCUGCUUGUUAAAAAUAAUUUUAAUACAUGAGAAUGAUUUAAAAAAAAAAAUAACAUGAACAAAUAAAAAUUAUUAAAAAAUAUAAAUUUAAUAUUUUUUUCAAGUAAAAAUAAACACAAUAAAUAUCUCAUUUCAUCGCGCAAUCAUGUCUAUAUCUCUAUUUAGAGUUAAUCACUUGUGAUGGUGCUCAAUCAUUUUACUAGAAAAGUGUCAUUAACUACACGAUUUUACACAAAAACAGCAUAAGAUUAAAGUAACAAGUUCUCUAGAAGUAAUCAGUUUGAGUCUCACAAAUCUUAAGAUCAUUGGAGGCUUACAUGGUCGUUAACUUCAGGACCCGUAUGAUUAGUUGAGGUACGCGCAAGCUGGCCCAGACACCUACGUUAAUAAUAAUAAUAAAAAAAGUAACAAGUUCUCAAUGCCCUCCAAAAACACACAUUCUCUACUGGAGAUCGAAUGCAUGAGAAUACAAUUGCCACAAAAAAGAUACAGCUCUAUAUAAAGUAACUUGAGUUUAUUCUCUACUGGAUCUGAGCUCACUUGAAGAGUUUCCAGUAAAUUUUCAGUCAUUUCAUCUUACCUCAUCGGCAAUUAUAUAUUGUACUAUUGGAUGCAUUUGACUGGUGAUAAAAUGCAUAAUUGGUUUCUUUCACAUAAUGCUACAGUUAGAUCUUGAUGAACCAUCACCAUCAUCACCAUUACCAUCACCAAUACCAGUAAGAUCACUAUUUAUGCCUGCAUCUAGCAGUCCCUUUUCAAGAAUUUUAAGCACCUUGGUUCGCUAUACAUACACCCUUUUCUUUUUCAAGCUGCAGCCGCCACUCAAAGCUCAUCUACAACUAUGCCCCGUCAAGAACUGGGGCCUCACAAUCACUAGCCAAUAUGUGCAAUAUGCUUUUCUCUCAUGCCUUUCUUCGUCUCAUGCCUUUUUAGAUAUUCUGGUGUCCUAGGCGUAGAGGAACCACACCAAUCCAUCCCACAAAUUUGCUUUUGGAGACAAGAUCAUCUUAUCUUUUAGAUAUUCUGGUGUCCUAGGCGUAGAGGAACCACACCACAUAAAACCGAGUUGCAUUUUUCCAAGGAACAUGACAAACUCAAUCUGGAAGCUUUAAUGCUUGUAUUUAAUAAAAUAAAACAAGGUUUAUAUAUGCCAACAAAUAUUUAAAAACCUUUAAUGAUAAUUAAAAAUUGAGUCUGGAAGCUAAAAGGAAUUUACAUAUUAAAAUAUUAGAUCUCGUGACAAUGAGAGCUUUUUUAUUUUUUAAUUAUACAAUAAUAUAAGGGGUUUUUUUAGAAGUUAAUAAUUUAAACUCAAUUGAAAAAAUGGUUUUAAUUGUAAAAUUCCUCGUUUUCUUAUUAAUAUAUUUUUCUUCAAACAUGCAGACCUGAAUGUAUUUUCUUAGAAUCUAAUUAUAAUGUAUAUUAUUGAGUUUAAAUUAUUUUUUAUCUUGAUUUUAAAUUUUGAUAAAAUUGAAAGCCUUUUUAUCUUGAUUUUAAAUUUGAUAAAACUAAAAGCAAUUAGAAUAAAUAUAAAAAAAUCUAGAUAAUUUAAAAUAAAAAUACAUCUCUCAAAUUAAAAAAAAAUGCCAAUGUUUGGGUGAUUAUUUUUUCUUUUUCUUUUUCUCUUGCUUUGUGACUUCUUCUACUUAUAUUAUUUUGAAAUGUCUCGCGAUGCAUGGGGUGAUUAAAAUUUGAUUGUCUCAUUGUAUGCAAAUGAAUAAGUUUUUCACCAUAUUAUUGUGUUUGUGUUAAUUGAUAAUAAUAAUGCAUCUAAGACGGGUAAUAAAUUUUGAUCUUCUAAAAUUCUAAUCUUUUUAAUUAAACUUAAAUUGGGUUUUCAAACUUAAUUUUUCACAAAUUAAGCUCAUAAUAAAAUUCAUUUGACUCAUUUAAAGUAUAAUUAAUUCCUUACACCUAAUUAAAUCCUUUAUUUGAACCAAAAUUAAUUCUUAAAUAUAAUUAAAAUUUAAUUUGGCCAAUGAUUAAAUCAAAUUUACCUAUUAAAAAUUUAAUUAUGUUCUUGAACUUAAUUUUUACUCAGAUUCGUUCAAUAAUUAUUUAAUUUGACUUUGAAUUUUUAUUGUUUCUUUAUUUUUUGACAUAAUGGGGUACAAUUAGACCUUGAAUUUCCUUCAAAAUUACAGCUUGGUUUUUAUAUAUUUUGUUGUUGAAUUUUCUUCAAAAAUCACCACCUUUUAUUUUAUUUUUUUGACAUUUAUUAUUAUUUUAAAAAAUAAAUUUAAAAAAUAACCAGAAAUGAGAUGUAACAACUAUCUCGAUGAUAACAACCCAGCUGAAAAGAGAAGAAACACCGAGAGACAAAAAAAAAUUACUGAGUGCCGGAGAAGAAAACGAGCUGGUGUCUUGUUUUGGCCAAAUUAAUCCGCUCCUUUGCAGGUUAUAAAUGGUGAGUACUGAAGGCACGCCGGCGUAAUCCUAAGAUUGGUUAAAUAGCCAGCGAGCGCGCCACGUGGCCCAGUGGUAUUUUUUAACCUUUUUUUGGUGUUUUUCCACCUAAUUUCGAACCUGGAUAAAUAUUUUAUUGUUUUUUAUAUGUUUCAAUUUUGUGCAUAUUAUUUUAUACAUUUUUGUGAAAGUCCAAUUUUUUAUUAUUAUUGUUGAUAGUGACAUUCUCAUUAAAAAAAAAUAAAAAAUGGUAAAAAUAAUUAUAAUAAUGACAAUUUUCAGGUUUGUUUUGCAAUUCAUGAGAGUGAAUGAGCCAAAACCCAAUUUAAUUUUUACCAUUCAUAUGGGUUCAAUGUCCAUCUUUACAAAUAGCUUAGUUGAGUGGUCUCCUUUUAAAGGGAUCUAUGAAAAUUCCUUUUAGGAAUUAACAUCAACAUCUUGACGAGUCUGAAGACCAAUGUCAAACUUUUCACAAACUUAGAAAUAAUAAAAUAAUAAAAACAAUUAUGAUAAUUAAUGACAAUUAAAAAGAAAAAUUUAAGAGAAAACACAUAGUAAAGAUAAUCUUUCGUAAAAAAUAAUGCUUUAAGGAUGACAUUGUUCUUAUCUUAAGCAUAACUAACCUCUUACAUGAAUCUCUGAAACCAGUGCUUAUUUUUUUCGGAUUCCUAGUUUCCUCUAAUUACUAGGCGGGGACUCUAAUUUUCCCUAAUAUAUUUUGGCUCCCGCCAACAUCCACUAAGGUGCAACAAGUUUCAUGCAGAUUAUUUCGCUCGGCUAGGAGAAAAAUUCCACUCUAUAUUCAUGCAUGUUUUGAGAAUCUUAAGAACACCUCUGAUACUUAAGGAAUAGGUCUUCUAAUCAAGGUUGUCAAUUCCGUUUCGGUAGGUGUUUUGUUUUUUCAAUUGGAAUGGAAUGUUUCAGUUUCGGAGUGUUUUGACGUGCCGUUUCGGGGUUGUACUGUUCAUAUAUAUAUAUAUAUAUAAAUUUAACAAACAUAAUUUAAAUUCAAGAUAAAUUAAUUAUAAAUUAUGCAAUACAAACACAAUACCAAACAAAUAUAAUUUCAAAAUUUAAAAUAUUUCUAAAUAGUCAAGAUUAAAUAGAUCUUUAACUUAAAGUAAUUCAACUUAAACAAAAUAUCAAAAUAUUAUGAAAGUAAAAUGUUUUAACACAAAUAUUUUAAAUAUAAAGUUAGGUCAAUGUUAUCAAGGCUAAUGGAAUCUAAAGCAUCCCUUGUUUUACUCAAAUUCCUACAAAGUAUAAACAUGAAAAAAACAACAUGAAUAUAAACCAUAUAUAUUAGUGAUAAAUCUAAUUUUAAAAAAUUAAUAUCAUUGUUAAUGAAAAUAGUAAUAAUAAUUUUCAAUAUUAUUAUCAAUAUCAUUGUUAUUGAAAAUAGUAAUGAAAAAAAGCUUUUUAUAAUUGGGUGGUUUAAUUAAUUAAAUUGAACAAGGUUCAAUUUGAUUCAAUGGCUUUUCAAGAGCGGAACGGAACAUGUGGAAUGAAACUAGAACGUUCCGAGCGGAAUUUAGCCGAAAAAUCCGGAACGGACCGAGAUUUAAAAUGAGAUGAAAUUUGUUCCGUUUUGUUCCGUUUUUUGAAUUGGUAUGGAAUGUUUCGGCCAUUCCGGGCAAAACAGAACGGAAUUGACAACCUUGCUUCUAAUCAUAAUCAAGGGGAAAAAAUCUACCUCUCAACAACUGCUUCAUCCCCUCCCUAGUCUUAAUAGGUCUUCUACUUUCUCGCCUCCUAGUUUCCAAUAGCCUAUCUCACCAGACUAAGGCCCCAUUGUUUAAUUUAAACCAUAUAGUUUUUAUCAUCCUCGAAUAUAAAACUUUGUAUGCUUAUAAAAUGGAUCACAUUCAGCUAACCAAUCAGCGAAAUCCUCUACUCUUAAAUCACCAUCAAAAGAAGAAAUCUCAACAUUUAUACGGUAAUCUUGAGCAUACCUAUUAUUUCCAGAAACCUCACCCCGAUCUUUUUUAUCAGAAGAAUACCAUUGUCAUACUGACCAUGAGGAUUUACAUUAACUAGUUUAGGGAAAGGUUUUUCACGGGCGUCAUUCCUGCCAAAUGCCUAUUUUAUUUCAUGGUUCAUGUUUGCGUGCAACCCUAAUGCUUUAAACUUGGUUGUAAGGUCAUCAACUCUGAUAUUGAUGUCACCCAACCUAGUUUGCAUUUGCCCCUCUAAAGCUGCUAUCAUUAAUGAAUAAUGAUUUAGUUGAUCUCAAACAACCUGCAUCUCCUGAUCAUCGUCACAGAGAUUGUUGUGGCCAACUACUCCACAAUUCUCUUCACGAUUUGCCAUUGAUCCGGAUGUUGACCCGCUCUAAUACCACCUGACACAACAUAUAUCGAAGAUAAAACUAGAGAAAAAUUUCCACCUGACACACCCUGUAUCCCCUAAUCAUCGUCACGGAGAUGGUUCUCUAGCUUUAAGGUUACAAACCAAACUGUAGAGAAAUCUAGAGAAAUUUUUCCGGUAUUUUUAUUGAAUCUAAAUAAUACUAUUAAUCUCUAUAAAAUAAAUUAGACAUCUCUAUUUAUAUUUAUUUAUAAACUGGUACUUCUACUAAUGUUGUAUCUACCGAUAUGGUAAGCAAGCUCAACCUUAAGAUGGAAGCAUACCCUCAUGAUCCCUACAAAUUGAGGUGGUAGGAAAAGAAGCAUGAACAUAAAGUAACAAAUAGAUGUCUUGUUUUAUUUUUCUUUGGAAAACAAAUAGUGGUGUGAUAUGUUAUUUGUUGUUUGGUCAUUCAUGUAAUUUGAUAGGAAAGUUCAGCAUGAUGGCGUUAAGAAUAAUUAUUGUUUUAUGAUGCAGUAGUGAUUGUUUUAGUUUUUAAGCUUUUAAUGUAUUUGUUUGUAUUUCAACAAGUAAAAAAUGUGUCUUAGUUAUUAUUUUCUAGAUUCAAGUCAAAGUUAUUUAUUUUGAUCUUAAUUAUGUUAUUUUUGUUUUUCUCUAGACUUGGAGGGUUGUUUCAAGGGUAUAAUAAUCAUUUGUACUGUGUACUAAAUAUCUUUGGUGAAAAUUUGAGUAGAAAUCUUUAACUUGGUCUUUUGACACCCUAUUCAGUUUUAUAUCUCCUUGCGAAUUAUAAAAUUUAAACUCAUAACUUUAUAUAUUGAAAGUGGUGAGAAAAUAUAUAUCUUUAAAGUCAUUAGUUAUUUGCAUCUAUAUCUCUAUGAUUUUUUACCUUAAAAAAGCCAGCAUAGACUAUAAUGCAUUUAUGUGAGUGAAUUGUUUCUACGCUAUAAUCCUAUUAUCUUUGGUAUCAUAAGCUGCUUCCACCUCCAACUUCUCCCUAUUGACAACAUUACUAACAUCAUAUUUUCCGACAGUAAUUCCAUUGUUAUUCGCCAAUUUUCCGAUAGUGAACUAAAGCUUCUUCUUUUAUAUAUUUCUUUUACAAGACAAUAGUUGAUCAACCUUUAGAUAUUAAGAUUUUUAAUAUCAAGAAUCUUAAUAUUAAGGUUCUGUUGAUUGUGCUGUUAUACUUCUUGUUUCGUGUUGUUUUGAUCAACCUUUAGAUAUUAAGAUUUUUAAUGUGCAGCUUAUGUUAAUGUUAUUCGAUGAAAACCCUUAGAAUAAAACCAUUCUAGUAUAUCAAGAAUCUGCAAAUAGAUGAGGUUUACGUACCAACGUAGCAAUACACAAACUUUAAGGAUUUGUUUCCGCACCCACUAAUAGUCGAGCAUUUAUUUUUGCAUUUCAAAAACGUUUUUGAAAAAAAUAAGGGUGCUAUGCCUAAAGGAACUCAUCAUUGUUUUACUUUUGAUCGGUUCACUCCCGGGUCAACUCGCUUAAUUCAUGAAUCAUGGACCGGAUCCAGCCUCUCGCGUAUGCCUAGAGGAACUCAUCUUUUAAAACCAUGGUCAUUAACCCACACAAGCAUUAAAUUUCAUUGUAUAAAAUUAAUAUAUAGUUGCUUAGGUGCUCCUUCAAUUUUCAAUUAAAUUUCGUUGUAUAAAAUUAAUAUUUUGUUACUGUUAAAAAGAUUGUAUUCUCUUGUGCCCGGAAUGAGUGUUUGAUAUUGUGAUAUAAAGUGAUUUUCAAAAAUAAUUUUAAUAUAUUAGAAUGACCUUUUAGAAUCUUUUUUAACAUCAAAAAAAUAAAAACUAUUAAAAAACAUAAAAUAAAUAUAAAUUUAAUGUUUUUUGAAAUAAAACAUAAUUUUAAAAUAUACCACAAUAAUGUCUCGCUUCAUCCAGUAGCCAUGUGUAUAUGAGUUAGUCUUGCUUGCAAUGAAAUCAGUUGUGAUGGUGCUCAAUGAUUUUACUAGAAAAGCUUCAUUAACCACAUGAUAUUUUACACAAAAGCAGCUUAAGAUUAAACAAGUUCUCAAUGCCCUCCAAAAGUACACAUGAGACUAUGGAGAUCGAAUGCAUGAGAAUACAAUUAUUGCCACAAACAAUAUAAAGUAACUUGAGUUUAUUCUCUACCGGAUCUGAGCCCACUUGAAGAGUUUCCUCUUACCUCAUCGGCAAUAUUUAUUGUACGAUUGGAUGCAUUUGGCUGGUGAUAAAAUGCAUCAUUGGUUUCUUUCACAUAAUGCUACAGUUAGAUUUUGAUGAACCUUCACCAUCACCAAUACCAUCACCAAUAUCAGUACUUAUGCCUUCAAGAUCACUACUAGUUAUGCCUGCAACUUGCAGUCCCUUUUUAAGGAUGUUAAGCACCUUGGUUCGCUUCUGAAAUAAAAGAUAAUACGCAGAUAUAUUAGAGGCUGAGUUCAUAUUUUUAUAAGCAAACAUAUUUUUAUACUUAAUAUAGUAUUUAUUUAUCAAUUAGAUGGAGAGAAUAUUUGUAUUAAUGAAAAUAUGAGGAUUCCACUAGUUAUUUUGAAGCCAGUCUUGAAAAUAUAAUUAAUCUCUUCAUCCAGAGAAUUAAAGAACUUCAAUCAAUACGAAGAAUGGGAAUUCAAAUGUAAAGCAGAGAAGAAAUAUAAUAAUAAAACAAAACCCAAUGUUGAAGGAAACUCCAUACGUAAUGCUCCAUAAACAAUGAGUUAUCAGUGAAUUUUGGCAAAUGUAUAGUAAUAAAUAGUAAAAAUAUCUUAUUGUUUUAGUUUCUAAAAUUAAUUACCUGAAUGGGGGCCGCUUGUGUCGCGCUCCUGCUUCGACAAAGUAAAGUAUAGUUAUCGCAGAAGAUGGCACCAUCGUGGUGUGUGAACUUUUUACCACCAUAACAUUCACAACAAAUUUCAUAGCUGCUAACUGAAUCAUUGAAGAAACAUUCAGAGCAACUGAAGUAUGCUCCUGCCAAGAACGUCUUACAAGACUGGCAAAUUAUAGCCCUUCCACUCUGCAUGAUGUAGUACAAGACGAUUGCUUCAUUAAAAUCCAAGCUUCCAUUGCCGUCCUUGUCCAGCGCUGUAAACAAGCUUGGAAGAGUAAGAACCGUGUUGUUAUCUUUCUUGAGAUACUCCACGUAUUCAUCUCGGUUAAUUUUCCCGUCUCCGUUCUUAUCCAUGGCAGCGAAAGUCUUUUUGGCCA